AGCGGCGGAUGGGUGAGUAACACGUGGGGAACCUGCCCCUAAGUCUGGGAUACCAUUUGGAAACAGGUGCUAAUACCGGAUAAUAAAGCAGAUCGCAUGAUCAGCUUUUGAAAGGCGGCGUAAGCUGUCGCUAAGGGAUGGCCCCGCGGUGCAUUAGCUAGUUGGUAAGGUAACGGCUUACCAAGGCGACGAUGCAUAGCCGAGUUGAGAGACUGAUCGGCCACAUUGGGACUGAGACACGGCCCAAACUCCUACGGGAGGCAGCAGUAGGGAAUCUUCCACAAUGGACGCAAGUCUGAUGGAGCAACGCCGCGUGAGUGAAGAAGGUUUUCGGAUCGUAAAGCUCUGUUGUUGAUGAAGAAGGAUAGAGGUAGUAACUGGCCUUUAUUUGACGGUAAUCAACCAGAAAGUCACGGCUAACUACGUGCCAGCAGCCGCGGUAAUACGUAGGUGGCAAGCGUUGUCCGGAUUUAUUGGGCGUAAAGCGAGCGCAGGCGGAAAAAUAAGUCUAAUGUGAAAGCCCUCGGCUUAACCGAGGAACUGCAUCGGAAACUGUUUUUCUUGAGUGCAGAAGAGGAGAGUGGAACUCCAUGUGUAGCGGUGGAAUGCGUAGAUAUAUGGAAGAAACACCAGUGGCGAAAGCGGCUCUCUGGUCUGCAACUGACGCUGAGGCGCGAAAGCGUGGGGAGCAAAACA
rnacentral:rRNA from 1 species